CGGGGCGCCCAUGUCCGUCUUCGGACCCGCCAGCCCCUGCCCAGGACCUCGGGGCCCCGGACAACCUGAACCCGACCUUUCCAGCUGCCCGGUCGGGUCCAGUUCCGAGGCCCAGGGCGCAGCCAAUAAAAGAACCCCAAAUUUCGCACGCACGGGACAGAAAGGCGCACUCGGUAUGGAUCAAGGGCCCCCACUCAGUCCCAAGCCGCACCCCGGGUCCCCAGGCGCUGCAGGACACCUGUGCCCCCCCCAAGCCCUGCGCUUCGGCCACUCGGGGAGGGACCCGUCCGCUCCACGCGGGGCUAGUCUCCCACUCAGCUCGGUGACAGGCGGCCCUGGGGCAGUUCCGCAGGUGCCUUCGGAGCCGCCGCCUGCCCCUGGGGGUCGCAGCCUGAGCACUGCGCGCGAGGUCCCCAGUGUUUGGUGGCUCCCAGUAACUUCUGUGACGCUCAGCCGCCCAGUCGCCUGGGUGGCGUUGCUAUGGGGAGGGGGGGCGAGGACACCAUCAGAAACUUAGGGAGGGAAACCGGGGCGCGGGGGUGGGGGGGGCUGCCUUCCGACCUGGAGGAGCCUCGGUGCAGGGGCAGCGGGGCCACUCUCCGGGGGCCCUUGGUCUGACCUCAGCGUCCCGGGCGCACGGGGGUCGCGCGUGGUACUCACCCACGGUGGCCAGGAUGUCGAAGUUCUGCAGGGCGUAGCCGGGCGGCUCGGGCGAGGGCGCCUCGGGGCUGGGGCUGGGCGCGGGCGCCCCGUCGGGAGUGCGCCCCGCGGCUGCCGGAGGCUCGGGGUCCGCCGCGGCCGCCGCGGCCAGCUCCGGCGCCUCCAUGGGGGCGCGUUGCCGGCCGCGGGCCGCGGGCCGCUGGGCUUCCCGAGACGCAGCCUCGGAGGGCGGCGCGGCGGCGGCAUCAGCGGAGGCCACCCAUGCCCGCCCGGCGCCUCCGGGUGCGCGGCCCUGCGCGGCGGGGACAAAGGCGCAGCGCGGGGCGGCGCUCAGUGCAGGAGCAGCAGCAGCAGCUGGUGGGAGUAGCCGGCGGCCUCCGGGGCGCGGCGCGGGCCGGGCGGCGGCGAGGGCGGUGGAGGCGGAGGAGGCGGUGGAGGCGGAGGAGGCGGUGGAGGCGGAGGAGAUGGUGGAGGCGGUGGCGUGGCCGGGGCGCAGGGCGAGGCGGGGUCCGGGCCGCGGGUGCCGGGCUCCCUGUUCAUUCCUCGGGUCGCGCACCAGCCACCGGCAGCGCCGGCCCCCACCGGCGAGAGCGGGGGCCCGGGCGGAAGCGGCCAGGGCGGGGCGAUCCCCGGAGCGCGAGCGCGGCCGGGCGCGCGGGGACAGCCCGGGGGCGGUGUCGGGUCCGCGCUCCGCCCCGCGCGCAGCCCCGCCCCGAGCCGCGCGGCCAGGGCGCCCGGAGCUGCCGCGGCCCGUCUGCGCCCAGGGCGCGCCCGCGCGGGGUCCCCACCCUGCUCCCCGGCGACGCGCACGGCCACCACCCAGGUCGCCGCGCCCCAGCCCCCCCCCCCCCCGGCGGAGAGGCGGGAAGCGGGCGGGGCCGGGCGGGCGGGGCGGGGACCCGAGUAAAGUUUAAAAACAGAAGUGAAAACGGAGCUCGGUGCUGGUCGCCCGCAGCUCCGCCAACCCCAGGGUCCCCAAGCGCGCGGUGCCCAGCGAACCCCGCGAAGGCUCCUUCGGUGCAGCGGGUGGACAGGCCAGAGCUCCCGCCCCAGGGGGCUUCCUGCUUCUGCCCCCCCCCCCCCCCCCGGACUCCGGGGAUUGAGAGAUCUCGAUCUGGGGGCACAGGAGGGACAGAGGGACCUCCCUGGGCUCUCUCGGCAGCUUCCUGUGAGUCUAUGAUUAUUUCAAAAUAAAUAUUUUACUAAAAAAAAAAGAGAGAAGCAUUCAAGCGAUACAGCGACAGCACACAGGGCGGGCGGCCCGACGGGCCACCGUUCCAACCCAGGGACAGUCUCUGACCACUCGGGAACAGCUGCAGAUAUUUUAGUUUCAGAUGCACCACGGUCGUUUGCCUUCGGCCGGUGAAAACCUGCCCCCCCCCCCACACACACACAAACACACUUGGCCACAGGCUUUAAAAGGACUCUUCUGUGCGUGCACUUCAAGUGCAACUGGACGCCGGGCGAGUGGCCACCCCCUUCCCUGGGGAUCUAGUUAAAAGCAGCCUGGGUUGGGCGGGAGCGGCCUAGAUGUCACCCGCUGAUUGACCCUCAGGUCGGAGCAGGGUUUGAGUGGCAGGAGGGCAGAAGUAUACAUGGUUUUGAGGGACGCCAGGUAGUCUGUGGCUGGAGGGACUGUCCCCAGCCCCGGGCCUCCUGUGUAAGCCACAGAGGAGCAUUUUUAAGGAAAUCAGGCCAUACCACCCCGCACAGCCAGCAGCGAGGGGGCGACAGGAAGUCUAACCCGGGCUCUGGGUGUGGCUUUCUGGGCUCUGGCUACCAUCCCCCACCUGCAUCUUGUGGGUGGCAGGUUCCUGGGGGGGGGCGGGGCGGGGAGACCGGCUUUCAGCCGGAAUGGAAUGCAAAAAAUGUGCACCGUCUAGUGACACUCUGUGCGCCGGGUUAGGCCCAGGACACGCGCCCCUGCUGAAGGGACUGGGGGCCAGCCGAGGUCUUGCACAUCGAGGCUCCCAAACCCACCUCCUCUGCACUCGGAUCUGACCCCAGAAAUGCGAUGCGUCCAGCCAAUCAAGCCUUUGCCACCGAGGCUCGGAAUGCACGCAGGCACGCACAUGUUUUUGCUUGCAAAGUGCAUUCAGGUAGACACAGAGGGGAACGUGCAGGUCUCAACCCUUCUCGGUGGCUGCCCGGUGGCUCUGAUGGGACCUCGCCCACCCUGAGCUGGCCCGCAUCCCUACCCCGGCCCACGUGCCUACCCCUUCCUAUCAAUAGCACCAGUGUGUUUUGCAACAAAGCAGCUUGCAUCUGGGCGGAUCUUAAAAAAGGGGGAAAAAUUCUUUGGAAACCACAUCCCAAAACUUGACGGACUAGAAAAAGCAAAAUCCCCUGAAGGUGGGCAUGAGCAGGAUUGUUUUCUGGUGGUCAAGGAGCUCUGUCAUAGCCAAGGAAUGAGUCUCUCCCUGCCCCUAAGCUGAUGGAACUGUGCUUGCAAAAUAGUCCUAGGAACAGGUGUUGUGCACGCAGUCAAGUCCCCAAGGCCACUGAACACUUCUUACAGGGGAUUAGGAUACUCGGUGUCUUUGCAUGUACCUGCACCUAAGCAAUAAUUGAUAAACCAAGUUAAAUGCAUGUGCUAGUAUGCGUAUGAGUAUUUGCAUAUAUGCGAUGUAUGCAAUAUGUACUGUUUUAUAUAUGUGCAAAAUACAUAUAGUAUUUAAAAAAAUAAUAUAUGCCGGGCGCGGUGCCACACGCCUGUCAUGCUGCGGCUCAGGAGGCUGAGGCAGGAGGAUCCUGAGUUCAAAGCCAGCCUCAGCCAAAGCGAGGCCCUGAGCAACUCAGUGAGACCCUGUCUCUCAAUAAAAUGCAAAAUAGGGCUGGGGAGGGGGCUCAGGGGUCGAGUGUCCUUGAGUUCAAUCCCUGAUGCAGAAAAAAAUAACAAAUAAGAGUGAAAAUAGUAAGUGCUUUUACCAUAUAUUUUACAUUUUAUAAAUAUAUAUGCUAAUGUAGGGUACUUAUUGUACCUUCCAUUGUAUUUUAUGUGUUUUUCUCAAAAGAAUAAAAAACCAUAAAACACAUUGCUGGGUCACAGCCCGGUGGGAGAUACCUUGGUUCCAAUAAUGCAAAAAAAAAAAACAAACAAAAAAAAAAAUCUGGAGUCGGGAGACCCCUGUAAUCCCAUCUCCUGAAGCAGAAGCAUUGCAAGUUCAAGGUCAGCCUAAGUCAUUUAGUGAGGCCCUGAGCAAUUUAGGCAGACCCUGUCUCUAAUUAAAAAUAAAAAGGGUCAGAGACGUAGCUCAGUGGUCAAGCACCCCGGGUUCACUCCCCAGUACAAAAAAAAAAUGGGGGCCAGUCCGCACAACUGAGCCAAACCCUGUAUCCAGACUAAAAAUCUGGAUGCAGGGGUAUAUCUGUGUAAUCCCAGCAACUUGGGAGGCUGAGGCUGCAGGAUCGUGAGUUGGAGGCCAGCCUCAGCAACUUAGCGAGGCCCUGAGCAACUCAGUAAGACCCUGUCUCUAAAUAAGAUAUAAAAAGGGCUGGGGAUGGGGCUCCGUGGUUAAGCACCCCCUGGGUUUAACCGCCAAAGCGAAUUAAAAUAAAAAUAAAAAUCUGCAAAUGUGAAAAAGAAUACAAGUUGGUUUGAUUCCGGUUCCAAGGGAGACCUAAAAAUAUCACUUCUCCCUGUGUCUGUUGACUCAGAGGCUUUUCGUGAGUGAUUCCAAAGAAAACUGUCUAGGAAACCGUGGGUCGGUCGGUGGCCUGCAAUUAGUAGGCGCCAAAUUGACCCCUCACCUAGAGAUUCAUUAGAGGUUUUAUUUCAGGGACGCUGAGCUGGUGUGGGUGAGCCUCCCCAAACCAGGCGUUGAUUUCUGCGCCCUUUGCUGGGUGGUCUCACUGGACUCCUGAAUCUGAGUGGCAAAGAUCAUAGUUUAGCCAAAGAAUAAUAAGUUUGUCAAUCAGUUGGUGACAGAGGUGACGGAAGAGUAGGGUCAUCACGGAGAUCCAUCUGGCCCCUUCUGGGAUCAUCCACGGGGUGGGUUUCCUUUAAAUAUUCAGAUUCUCUGGACCUAGAUAGAGAGCUGCUAAGUGGAUGGGAACUGUCAAUCAAGUGGUCGCCGUGGGGACACAGGAAACUGCCACAUUUGGAAUCCAUUUGGCUCAUCCCUAAAUCCAAACCUUUAAGGAACUCAAGAGCAUCCCCAGGAAACAUUGUAACAACUUAGUGCACCUUGUGUCUAGGGGUCGAGGAGCAGCCCAGGGUCCAUGCCUGUCACCCCAGCUGCUCCGGAGGCUGAGGCAGGAGGAUCGCGAGUUCAAAGCCAGCCUCAGCCAAAGCGAGGCCUGAAGCAACUCAGGGAGACCCUGUCUCUAAAUAAAAUAUAAAAUAGGGCUGGGGAAGGGGCUCAGGGGUUGAGGGCCCCUGAGUUCAAUCCCUGGUACCCAAAAGAAAAAAAAAAAAUCCCAAAAGACAUUACAAGAAAAAGAAAAAUGAAAUAAUCAUCUUGAAAUGGGGGUAUCAAGCUUAACAGAAAGAAGGGGGGCUAUUCAUUCUCUAUACAAAUGGAAGGGUCUUCUACCUUUCCUAGAAAUGGAACCGGAGAUCCCACAGAAUAGGAAAAAAAAAAUGUCAAGAACCUGUUGGAAUAGAAAGGAAAGAUUGAAAUGGGAUCCAGCCGGGGGUCAUUCAUAUGUAAAGUUAAUUUAUAAUAAAUAAGAGUGGCUGGGGAUGUGGCUAGGUGGCAGAUUUCCGCAGUAUGGAGGUCUCAGGUUCGAAGCCAGCGCCAUCAAACAAAUAAAUACAUUUUAAAGUAACGCAGCGGAGGCCAGAAGUGGAAGUCAGCCACCUUCGCGGCACCCUCAGAACAAACCCUUGUCACCUGCUUGGGGCCCCUAUGUGAAUAAGCACAAAAACCUUGGUGGGAUACCUAGCAUGGCACAGUUGGGGUUCUCCGGAUUCUCCACGGAGCGAUUUAUUUUUUCAAAGUCAACUUUGCAGCAUGCAGAGGAGAAGAAAUAAAAAUGCGUGUGCAAAGUGACCCCAUUUUUUUAAGGCAGUUUUGACUAUGAAGGAAAGAGACCUCUAGCAUCUAAAGACAAGGUGCACGGACACUGUCAGAUUCUGCACCACGGUCUCCAAAAUGGGAAGCUUCCGGUUGCAUUUUGAGACACACAGGGACGUGUGCAAAUCCCCCCCAGUCCUUAGGAGAAUGGCCCCCGUCUGCCCUGUGGGUGGAGGAUGUGUACAUUUUUCAUUUCAUUCCCAUUUACAUUUUUAUUCUCAUUUUUUUUUUUUCCUGGCAGCGGGUCGACUUUUAUGGAAACCCAGAGACACUUCAGAACAGGCUCGAACUGGUUUCAUGGAGGAUUGAGAAACCUGACCCCCUUCCCCUGGCUACAAAGCUGUGCUGGGUAUUUACCUUAAUUUCUUGCUUAAUUUCUAUUUUUUUAAUUUUUUGAGGCUAGUGGAGGGUACUGGGAUGGAACUCAGGGUCCUCAACCCCUGAGCCCCCUCCCCAGCCCCUAUUUUGUAUUUUACUUAGAGACAGGGUCUCCCUGAGUUGCUUAGGGGCCUCCCUUUGGCUGAGGCUGGCUUUGAACUCGCGAUCCUCCCGCCUCAGCCUCCCCAGCCGCUGGGAUGACAGGCGUGUGUCACUGCUGUGCCUGGCUCUUAAUGUCUAAAGAGAGGAGGAAGCAGUUUUUAGGGACCCCCUGGAGCAAGCUCGCUUGCCAGCCCCGCCCACCGGGGGAGCCAGUCUGCAGCGUGGACCAGCCCGAGGUCACCAAGGAAGAAACCGAGUUUGCCUGGGAGCCAGGGAGACGAGAUAAAUAAAAACCCCAUAAGCACCGUGACCUUGGAGAUGAACUUGGGCGACUCCGAGGCUUCCGUGGAGGAUGACUCAGCGCCCUCGCGUCUCCAGCAGAGGGUGGGGUUUGGAGACAGUCGGGAAGGCCCAUGUUGGAGAGAGAGGGCUGGGGAGGAGAAGUUGGAUUUGAUCAGUGCACCUCCUGUGCGUGUGUACAGAUACCACACGGAACCCCAUCCACUCUGUACAACGAAUGCCUGUUAAUCAAAAGUGUAAACAGAUAAAAAUAAAAAUCAUGUUGGGGAGCCGAUGACAGAUGUUCAGACAACUGCCUAGUGAUUAAUUUUAAAAAAAAAAUGGUUGUAAGCUACUUCCUUCUUGGCUACUGGUACUAAAAUAAAAUUUUGAUGUGUCAAAAUCUGUGUUGGAGGUCAGGCCCUGAGACACACGUCUGUAAUCUCAGAGGUUCAAGAGGCUGAGGGAGGAGGAUGGCAAAUUCAAAACCAGCCUCAGCAACUUAGUGAGGCCUAAGCAACCUGGUAAGACCCCCUGCCUCGAAAAUGAUAAUAAUAAUAAUAAUAAUAAUAAUAAUAAUAAUAACAACAAUAGAUAAUAAUACAGAGCUGGGGAUGUGGCUCAGAGGUUAAGCACCCCUGGGUUCAAUCCCUGAUAUAAGAAAAAAAAAUCUAUGUUGGAAAAUAAAAGCAUCAAAGAUUAGAUAAAAAAAAUAUGAAGGUUUAAAAUAUAAUAAUAAGCAUUUGUUUACAUUAUUAUGUUAUAGUAGGUCUUAGGAAUAAUGAAAGUACUUCUACGUAAUUAAUAUAAAAUAAUGUCACUUGGAAUAAGGACACUUUCCUAAGGAAUUUAAAAAAAAAGGCACAUUUCUGUUCACAUCGUCUAGAAAAAUAUGCAUGUUUUUAUGUACGUACAUAAACUCACACACAUAUAUAGAGAUAUCUACAUAUACACACACACAUAUAUUAAAAAAUGGAUUUAGACCCCCAGAUGCAUAUAUAGACAAACAUAAAUAUAUAAACUCAUUUUUAUAUCUGUUUGCAAACUUUUCUCUGUGUGUGUAUGUAUAUAAAAUCAUCCUUCAUUAUCUGUAGGGGUUUGGUUUCCAGAUUCCCAUACGCUCAAAGAAUGUGUUGCUGGGCGUUAUGUUUCUGUGAUCAAAAUGCCUGGAUCUAUUUAAAAGAUGGGGACCUUUUAUUUGGGCUCACGGUUUCCGAGGUCCAGUCCCUGGUGGCCGACUCCAUGGCUCUGGCCCAAGGGGAGACAGAACAAAAUGGCGGCAGGGCCUGGAGGAGGAGAGCAGCUCAGGACAGGGCACCAGGGGGCAGAGAGAGCUCUGCUCACCAGGGACAGGACAGAGACCCCAAAGGCACAGCCCAGGGACCCCCUCCUGCAGCCACACCCCACCUGCUGCAGUCCCCACCCAGUGAGUCCAUCCAAGUGGAUUAAUCCACUAUUAGUCUACACCUCUCAUAACAGGAUGGAUGGGUGGAUGGAUGGGUGCAUGAGUGGCUGGAUGGAUGGGUGGGUGGAUGAUGAAUGGAUGCUGGAUGAAUCCACGGAUGGAUCCUUCGAUAGCUGGAAAUUGAGAUGGGGCUGGAGAGAGAAGUCACCACAGAAAGAGGAAGAGCUGGUCGUCCAGGUGACCCACAGACCUUGCAUAGAUAGUGCAUCUGGAAAACAGCCCCAGGGCGGGAAGCGUGAGUCAGAGCUUCUCAGGAAACACAGGGCCCUUGUUUGUGAGCAGGUGCUGCCUGUCCUUGGGCGGCUGAGGAGGGACCUUGACUUCAAGACCAGGGUGUGGCCCUGGAGGCUCUGCUGAGCUGUCUGCCGGGUCCCCUGAGCAGGGGCCAGGGGGAGCCGCAGAAAGAGCAGGACCCCAGCUAAACCUUAGCUUCCUGCAAAAUGAGGCAGAUAUUCCCAGUGUGCCAGGUGUAAACAGGUUUAUCCACAAUAUACACAAUACACAUAUAUGGUAUAAGUACAUCUCAAGUAAUAUUUGGGACCUACUUAUACCAAACACCCCGUUGAUUUUUUUUUUUUUUGGUACAAAGGAUGGAUCCUACAGGUGCUUGACCCCUGAGCCCCCUCCUCAGCCCUGUUUUACAUUUUGUUUAAACACAGGGUCUCUCUGAGUUGCUUAGACCUUUGUUAAAUUGCUGAGGCUGGCCUCCAAGUCACCAUCCUCCUGCCUCAGCCUCCCCAUCUCCCAGGAUGACAGGCGUGUGCACCGCACCCUGCAAGGGACAACUCUUCUAUUAAAUAAAUUAUUCCUUCUUUAUCCAACAUCCCAAUUCUACCCGCAUUCUUUUUUUUUAAUUUGGCGACUUGAGUUUGACUUUUUUUGGACUGGGGAUUGGACUCAGGCGCUCUUCACCACGGAGCUCAAAACAUAUUUUUUUUCAAAGAAGGCGAUUUCUAGGUAUUUGUGACAUAAUCUCAAAGUUGGGUUGCAAAGAAGAGGCUCAGGCCCCAGGGUUCCAGGGUUCCAAGAGCGCAUUCCAUUCCGUGGUCAGGAGCAGGUCUGCGCACUUCGCUCUAGAGGUCACCGGUGCUCGCCGAGGUCCGGAGGGGGUGGGGACCAAACAGGGGGACUUAUUAUUAUUAUUUUUCCCUCUCUCAGCUUUUUUCUAUGCUGUUCGCAUCUCCCACUUGGAAAGGCUGCGGAGAGCAUUUGUCUAAAGACCUUGGAGCGCGGACGCGCGUUGGAGACCCGAGCCCGGCCGCCCGGCUCCCUGCGCCCGCGGUCACCAGGGGGAGACGGCAUUGCGCCCGCGGGAGGGCAGGUCCCUGGCCCGGCCAGCGAGGGAGCCGAGUGCCCAGGCUGAGCGCAGGGCGCCCCCCGGGGCUCGCAGAUCGGAUUUCUCUUCCCUGUUGCUCAACUUCUUUCUGCAUCUCUGAGUCCGGUGGAGGCAAAAGGAACUCAACACGCGGCUAGAAAAGCGUGUGCCCCAUAGUUGAGGGAGAACGACAUCGUCCGCCUUGAAUUUCUAUUUUAUUUUAUUUUUUUUUGACACGGUCUUGCUAAGUUGCUGAGGCUGGCCUCCAACUUGCAAUCCUCCCUCCUCAGCCUCCUGAAGUGCUGGGAUCGCAGGCGCGCAUUACCACGCCUGGCUUCCCCUCUGAUUUGUUUCUUCUUCUUUCUUUUGGUGGCUUCUUCGGUAUAAUUAGAACAGCUCAUGAGACUAAAAAUGGCCUGUGUGUGACUCUGCCUGCUAAUGACUUCUCCUUUUUUUUUUUUUUUUUCUUAUUUAUAAGAACACUUCUCUGUCCCAAGAUGCUUUGAGAUGCGUCCGGGAAAAGGAAACUCAAACAUGUGGAUUUUAAAGAGAAAUGUUUGACAGGUUUCUAUAUUUAUGAAAUAAUCCCCAGGUUCUAUUUAAAAAAAAAUAGCUUAUAUGAGAGUUUCUCUGUGUGACAGAAAAGCAAUUAAAAUUCUCUCAGCUGGGGACACUUGGGUUAUCAACCCUGUGGCUCCCUGAAGGGAGGGACAGCUCCCGGGACUGGUGCCCAUAGCAACAGGCUGGAGCAGGGUCAGGUUCCUGAUAAAAGUGGGGGAAGGGCUCUUUCAGUCCCUGGGGGGGGGGGCAGCCUCCAACUUCCCCCGACUCGCUCAGAACGGGCCUCCUGGAUCCGACCUGACUCCAUCUUACCUCCACGCUGAUGGCCUCCCUAAUGCUGGCCUCGCUGGGGUCAAAAGAUCCGUCUUCAGAACAAACCUGCCCGUUUGGGGAGGUUGUCCCUGAGACCCUUGGGUGCCUUUGGCACGGCUGAGUUGAGGCUGGACUCUAACUUACCGUCCUCCUGCCUCAGCCUCCCCGAUUCCUGGGAUGACAGGCAGCCACCCGAGUUGCAUUCCUUCCACCCUCAUGAAGAAACAGUCCAGACUUCAGACAAGGCCACCACCUUCCUGUUUAGACGGGGCGUAUUUCUGUUUGGGGGUGGGGACUGCGGGGACCCAGGGGCUCCGCAGAGCAGGUCCUGUGUUGAAAUGGAAACAAACAGGUCCCCAGGGGCCAAGGUCCUCCCUGUGGGUAGAUCUAGUCCUGAGCCAAGAGAAGGGGGGUGAGGGUGCACACUGUGCCAGCCAUGGAUGCAGAGUGUUUUGCAGCCUCUAUUUCCUUCCUCUGUAGAGCAGGAGGAUCGCGAGUUCAAAGCCAGCCUCAGCCAAAGCGAGGCCCUAAGCAACUCAGGGAGACCCUGUCUCUAAAUAAAAUGCAAAAUAGGGCUGGGGACGGGGCUCAGGGGUCGAGGGCCAGGUACCCAACAUUAGGUUGCUCCAUGUGCAUGAUUUCCUCACAAUCUACAAUGCUAUGACGGUUGCUUAGACAACCAUCAUUCCCUUUGCAGUGUGUCCGCGCUGUAUACGCUACACUCCUGUUGGGUACCCACCAGGAGUGUAGCCUAUACAGCAGGGACACACUGCACCAAAGGGAUGAUUCCUGCAGGGGGCGCUGUGGGAGGUGAACCUGCAAGAUUGCAUUAGCUGCUCGGAAGGAAGGACGAGUGCUUUUAAGUCUUGCGUUGUUAUUUCUGGAAAUUUCCAUCUGUUAUAUUUAGACCAGAAGUUGGCCACGUGUAACUGAAGUCCUAUUGGCGCAGGAAAUCAUCAUCGUCUUGCAAAAAAAAUUGCUUGUCAAUGUCGGUGACUAGAAAAGUGAUGCUGUGUUGGUGCUUUUGGGGAUUUGAAUAGCUCCUAAAAUAUACAGAUUUUUUAAUCAAUUUUUUUUUUUUUGCUGCCUGCUUUUUAGCUCUGCUUGCAACAUUGUUGCAAAGUAGCUAUGGACUCGCUUUCCGGAAUCCUUCCAAGGGGACAGAAGCCCCCGGGCUGGCCACCUCCCCAGCUCGUCUCAAGAGUUCCUGAAAAAAUGCUCCCAGAUGGAGGGACAAAGCACUGAGAACGUGUGUCCUUCAGGUCUGGAGCUUCUUCUGCACCCAAGAGGAGUUGAGGCAAGUUUUAUAAAUAUGAAAUCAGCUGCAAAAAUAAACAGGUCCUCUGAGUUAAUAAGAGGAAAUUG
rnacentral:lncRNA from 1 species